UACGUAGGGUCCGAGCGUUGUCCGGAGUUACUGGGCGUAAAGGGCGCGCAGGUGGCGGUGUUGGCCCGGCGUGAAAGCCCCCGGCUCAACCGGGGAGGGUCGUCGGGGACCGCACCGCUUGAGGGCGGUAGGGGCUGGUGGAAUGCCUGGUGUAGUGGUGAAAUGCGUAGAGAUCAGGCGGAACACCGGUGGCGAAGGCGACAUCCUGGACCGGUAUUGACGCUGAGGCGCGAAAGCCAGGGGAGCAAACGGG
rnacentral:rRNA from 1 species